AAUUCUAUAUUUGGGUCAGGUGUCGCAAGACUUAAUAGGGAAGUCGGUUGAAGCCGGCGCGGUCACGCCACUGUAACAGGGAGCACGCUGCAAAAUGCCACUGAGGAAACUUGGGAAGGUGCAGCCGUGCGAUGAACUGGAGCCAGGAGAACUGCCUGAUCAACAAUCACCGU
rfam:Selenomonas sputigena ATCC 35185, complete genome.